AACCUCCAACUUCUUGCCCUUCUACUCAUUCAAUAUCAUCUUCUCCCUCUAUUUCUGAACUCCCUCCUAGACUUGCACUAGUAGAAAAAUGACGAUUUGCGUCGCCCCAUUUGCGUCGCACUGAAACGGAAACGACGCAAUAACGUAAUUUGCGUCGCACAUAGAGAGGAGUGCGACGCACAACAUGAGUCAUAAGCACUAGAUACGCCCCAUUUGCGUCGCACAUGCCUUAGGUGCGUUGCAAAAGCCUAAUGUGCGUCGGAUUUCUAGACUCAUGCGACGCAAAUUGUCUCUACCUUGAAAAAAAAAAUCAAACUAUCUGCGUCGCACAUAUUUUAGGUGCGUUGCAAAAGACCCAAUUUGCAUCGCUCCCAAUUUAGUAUGCGACGCACAUAUUAAGGAGGCCCACUACCUUUUUUUUCAGAAACCCUAUACGCGCUACACGCACAUUUCAUUUCUCCCUCUCUCCCUCUCUCCCUCUCUAUCUCCCCCUCACUCAACCCUAAUUUCUCAGCCGCUUCUCUUCUCACUCUCACUCUCACUCUCAAAUUCUCCUCUCUCACUUCCAUGUUUCUUCACUUCUCCAUAACCGCCGAUGGCAACGACGAUGGCAUGAAGAGGUUCCGGCGAACGAACGACGAUGGCAACGAACGAAAUGAAACAAACGCCGUUGCUUCUCACUCUCACUCUCAAAUUCUCCACCCUAAAAUUUCAACUUUUUAUACUAUGCGUUUUCGGCUUUUUUUUGCUGUUAUUUGUUUCAUGUUUCCAGAUUCUUGCCAUUUGGUUUCUCUUUCACUUUAAAUCUAACGGUGAUGGUGCUGUUGUCUUCUUUUUGCAGAUCGCAAUUUGACCUCAUAAUUUGGCCGGCGAUGCUUCUAUUUUGGUGAAUGUCUCGAUUGUUUUUUUUUUCUCACUCCCUCUUUUUUGGUUUUGAUUUCGAUUUUUUUUGUCUUAAUUUGGGUUAUUUUACAGAUUUGGGUUAUUUCGGUUAUUUCGUUCUUCCCAGAUCUGUUCAAUCCCAGAUCUGGAGAAUCCUUCCUCAAACGCGGAAGUUGAUGACGUGAGAGAUCAAAUAUACAGAUGUUUGAUUAUUUAAGUUUAAUUUAAGCAAAUAUGUAUACAAUUUGUAAUUUGAAGCAAUAAAAGGAAUAUAAUUGUUUGUAUACAAUUUGAUUUUAAGGGAAUUCGUACAUUCAACUGAAUGCAAGAAAUCGUGUAUAUAAAUAAGAUUAGUUGAACUCUUA